rnacentral:snoRNA from 1 species
ACGUGAUAAUGUUCAUCAAAUGUCUGACCUGAAAUGAGCAUGCAAAGUUAACACUGAAGGA